AGAGUUUGAUCCUGGCUCAGGACGAACGCUGGCGGCGCGCCUAAUGAAUGCGAGUCGAACGAGAACCAGACAGUUGAUCUCUUCGGAGUGAUUCAGUCUGUGGAAAGUGGCGAACGGGUGAGUAACACGUGGGUAACCUACCUCCGAGACGGGGACAACACAGGGAAACUUGUGCUAAUACCCGAUGGUCUACCGGUGCACAUGUACCGGAUAGUAAAUGGUCAGCCGCUCGGAGAUGGGCCCGCGGCCCAUUAGCUAGUUGGUGAGGUAACGGCCCACCAAGGCGACGAUGGGUAGCCGGUCUGAGAGGAUGGUCGGCCACACUGGGACUGAGACAUGGUCCAGACUCCUACGGGAGUUAGCAUCAGGGAAUCUUGCUCAAUGAGCGCAAGCUUGAAGCAGCGACGCCGCGUGUGGGAUGAAGGCCCUCGGGUCGUAAACCACUGUCAGGAGGGACGAAGAUCUGACGGUACCUCCAGAGGAAGCCCCGGCUAACUACGUGCCAGCAGCCGCGGUAAAACGUAGGGGGCCAGCGUUGUCCGGAUUUACUGGGCGUAAAGAGCGCGUAGGCGGUUUGGUUAGCGGAGGGUGCAAUCCAGAGGCUCAACCUCUGAACUGCUCUCCGAACUGCCAGACUAGAGUACGGGAGAGGGUAGUGGAAUUCCUGGUGUAGCGGUGGAAUGCGUAAAUAUCAGGAGGAACACCCGUGGCGAAGGCUGCUACCUGGAACGUAACUGACGCUGAGGCGCGAAAGCUAGGGGAGCGAACGGGAUUAGAUACCCCGGUAGUCCUAGCCGUAAACGAUGGACACUAGGUGUUGGGGGAUCGACCCCCCCAGUGCUGUUCUGUUAACGCGUUAAGUGUCCCGCCUGGGGAGUACGGUCGCAAGGCUAAAACUCAAAUGAUUGACGG
rnacentral:rRNA from 1 species